GUUCUUGUUUUCACAGCACAUAUAAAUAAAAUUGGGAUGAUACAGAGAUUAGAAUGGCCCCACACAAGGAUGACUCAUAAAUAUGUGAUGCAUUCCAUAUUAAA